ACCCCGGCUCCUUGGGAUAGAUGGGGAAGCUGAGGCCCAGAAGGGGGCUGAGACCACCUCCCAGUUUCCCCAGUGAGGUGGCGCCUGAGCCACGGCCAGGCCCGGCCUCCUUCCACCCGGCCCUGCUGUGCGCGCGGCGGGUGCUGACCUGGCGAGGCCGGACAGGGGACCAGGUCGGGGUGACCGUCACUGACACCUGGACAGUCCUCGUUGUGUUCGGGGUGGGAAGCCCACGGAUCUUCAGAGGGAAGGCACCAGGAGUGGACUGCGGGACACCCAGAGUGGACUGCAGGAGGACACAGAAGCUAGGCUGAAGCGGGAGGAAGCUGGGAACCCUGCACGGGGCCACUGCGCACUGGGACUCGUUACUGGUCCCCAAGACUCAGGGAGAAUGGGGAAGAGUGUAUCACAGCCAUUGGGAACUUUCUUCACCCAUCAAAGCCUCAGGGCUGAAGCAUCCUGAACAAGAACUCAGGAGAGUGAAAGAAACAGUUACCUGUCGGCUGCAGCUGGUACCAGCUCCCCACCCCGUACAGAGACCGAAGCGUCCUCUCUCUCCCCAUCACCCAGCACCAGACUCUGCCCCGCGACCUCAGCCUGCACCUGCUUCCUGGCUCCAUCCAGCCUUCCAGCCUCACUAGAUCAUCAUGGGCCACUGGCCAACACACAGGGCAGUGCCGAGCCCAGGCCGUGGUCACACAUGGCUGGGUUAGUAGCUGAAAACAUUGUUUUUCACUGGCCUCACAGUAAUGGCACCUGCCCCCAUUUUCUGUGAUUGAAUUUUUGGAUCCUGCUACCAGGUUAUGAUAGAUUUUAUGGUAUGUCUCAAGAUAUUGAGAUAAAGGUAAUAAAACAGCUAUAAAGUCCUGG
rnacentral:lncRNA from 1 species